GACGAACCGUACGAACGUUAUUCGGAAUCACUGGGCUUAAAGGGUGCGUAGGCUGCGCGGAAAGUUGGGUGUGAAAUCCCUCGGCUCAACCGAGGAACUGCGCCCAAAACUGCCGUGCUCGAGGGAGACAGAGGUGAGCGGAACUUAGGGUGGAGCGGUGAAAUGCGUUGAUAUCCUAAAGGAGCACCGGUGGCGAAAGCGGCUCACUGGGUCUCUUCUGACGCUGAGGCACGAAAGCUAGGGUAGCGAACGGG
rnacentral:rRNA from 1 species